rnacentral:rRNA from 1 species
AAAUGAAUAGACGGGGGCCCGCACAAGCGGAGGAACAUGUGGUUUAAUUCGAUGAUACGCGAGGAACCUUACCCGGGCUUGAAAUGUAGAGGAAUAAUAUGGAAACAUAUUAGCCAGCAAUGGUCUCUAUGUAGGUGCUGCAUGGUUGUCGUCAGCUCGUGCCGUGAGGUGUCGGCUUAAGUGCCAUAACGAGCGCAACCCUUGCCGUUAGUUGCCAGCGCGAAAAGUGGGAACUCUAACGGGACUGCCAUCGUAAGAUGUGAGGAAGGUGGGGAUGACGUCAAAUCAGCACGGCCCUUACGUCCGGGGCGACACACGUGUUACAAUGGGGGGUACAGAGGGCAGCGACAGUGUGAGCUGUAGCGAAUCUCAUAAAACCCUUCUCAGUUCGGAUAGGAGUCUGCAACUCGACUCCUUGAAGCUGGAUUCGCUAGUAAUCGCGCAUCAGCCAUGGCGCGGUGAAUACGUUCCCGGGCCUUGUACACACCGCCCGU